UUAUACGAGAUGGUGUCUCACUGACC
rnacentral:piRNA from 1 species